AAGCUCAGUAACACGUGGCCAAACUACCCUGUGGAUGGGAAUAAUCUCGGGAAACUGAGGCUAAUUCCCAAUAAUGCUCCACCCCUGGAAUGGGUGGAGCUGGAAACGCUACGGCGCCACAGGAUGUGGCUGCGGUCGAUUAGGUAGACGGUGGGGUAACGGCCCACCGUGCCAAUAAUCGGUACGGGUUGUGAGAGCAAGAGCCCGGAGACGGAAUCUGAGACAAGAUUCCGGGCCCUACGGGGCGCAGCAGGCGCGAAACCUUUACACUGUACGCAAGUGCGAUAAGGGGACUCCGAGUGUGAAGGCAUAGAGCCUUCACUUUUGUACACCGUAAGGUGGUGCACGAAUAAGGGCUGGGCAAGACCGGUGCCAGCCGCCGCGGUAAUACCGGCAGCCCGAGUGAUGGCCGAUAUUAUUGGGCCUAAAGCGUCCGUAGCUGGCCGGACAAGUCCGUUGGGAAAUCUGUCCGCUUAACGGGCAGGCGUCCAGCGGAAACUGUUCGGCUUGGGACCGGAAGACCUGAGGGGUACGUCCGGGGUAGGAGUGAAAUCCUGUAAUCCUGGACGGACCACCGGUGGCGAAAGCGCCUCAGGAGGACGGAUCCGACAGUGAGGGACGAAAGCUAGGGUCUCGAACCGGAUUAGAUACCCGGGUAGUCCUAGCUGUAAACGAUGCCCGCUAGGUGUGGCGCAGGCUACGAGCCUGCGCUGUGCCG
rnacentral:rRNA from 1 species